AGGGAAUAGAUACCCGGGUAGUCCACGCCGUAAACGAUGGGCACUAGGUGCUGGGGGGAGCGACCCCUUCAGUGCCGCAGCUAAACGCGAUAAGUGCCCCGCCUGGGGAGUACGGCCGCAAGGCUGAAACUCAAAGGAAUUGACGGGGGCCCGCACAAGCGGUGGAGCAUGUGGUUUAAAUUCGAAGCAACGCGAAGAACCUUACCUAGGUUUGACAUGCUGGUGAAAGCCUCUGGAAACAGGGGCCCUUCUUCGGAACACCAGCACAGGUGCUGCAUGGCUGUCGUCGGCUCGUGUCGUGAGAUGUUGGGUUAAGUCCCGCAACGAGCGCAACCCUUGCCCGUGUUACUAACAGGUAAAGCUGAGGACUCUCGGGGGACUGCCGGCGUCAAGCCGGAGGAAGGUGGGGACGACGUCAAGUCAUCAUGGCCCUUACGCCUAGGGCGACACACGUGCUACAAUGGCGAGGACAGAGGGCAGCAAGACGGCAACGUGGAGCGAAUCCCAGAAACCUCGUCUAAGUUCGGAUUGUGGGCUGCAACUCGCCCAC
rnacentral:rRNA from 1 species